AGGCAACCCGCGGGCCGAGACGGGGUAGUGAGGGCCGGAAGCCCGGCUCCCGACUCCGCUUCGUCCCCACAACCUCCGGCCGCCUGAAGUCCUGAGGGGCCGUGGCCCUGGGUCGUCUCCCCUGUUCCCAGCCUCCAGUCGCAGCUGGCGGAGAGAAGUUCCCGAGGCCCCCCCGACUUGCAAGGAGGCCGACCCAAGUCUCCCUGCUGUCAUUUCAGGAGGCCGAAUUUUUUCCCAAUCCCAGAGAAGGUGUCAGAGGCCUGGUUAGCAGUCUUGUCGAUGGUUUCCUGGGUGGUCUUGGCCAGCUGGUCCAUGGCUGGGGAAGGGCGGGAGAGAGGGCAGGUCAGGCAGGGCCCGGGAACCACAGUGCCUGUAGGCUUAGCCUGGCCUGGGUCUCCCGGGGGACCUGCUUGGGGCAUUGUGGACAGAGGGCUCUGCAGAGGAGAGGAUGUGCCUGGGCCCCAGCCGGGAUGGGGCGGGGAGUGGGAGGUGUGCUGGGGUUGCCCGCCUCCCUCCAGCCCCACCAGACCUUUCUGCCCCGCCUCUGUGGCCUGGUCCACCACUUGCUGAGCUGCCGCUCCGGCCGCUGACACUGGAACAGAGAGAUGUGGCUUUUAGCCCCUGUUGAGGCACCACCGACUACAGGUGCCCCACCAUUGCCAUGCCUCUGUGUCCUCCAGAGUAUUCGGUGGUACAGGUCCAAGGGAUGGAUGCCAUGGAGAUAAAGUCCCUGGCCCAGGGCCCCCCAGCCCGAGGGGCAGGAGACCUUUCCAUGCCUCUGGGAUGUUUUUGUUUAUUUCUAACUCUGAGCUCCUUCUCUGUGGGGGAGGAGCUUCCCUUUCCAUCUCCAGGGCUACUGAGAAAAUGUUGGACAGAGGAAGGAAGGCAGGGCAGGGCCAGGCUGCAGCUAGCAUCUGGACUGUUGGCUAAUGCUGGUGAUGGCGCAGAAGACCCUUGCCCCCUUUUACAGCUUCUCCCCUAGAAGCCUGGCCCAGAUGCCUGAAUUCCCACCUUUCAUGCACUUAGCCCUGGGGCUUGCAGUUUUGCCAGGUCCUUACUGCCUCCUCCCUCCUGUGGCCUGCCCGGAGGGGCACACAAGCAAAGCCAGUGCCUCUGUGGACAGGCAGCUUAAGACAUUAGGAGACAAAUGAAGGAAGGAGGCAAAACUUCCAAGGCCGGACUAUCUCCUCUGGACCAGAGUUUCGGCCUGCUGGGAAUGGAGUCACCAGCCCCGGGGGGGCUGACAGGUGGCUCCCGCCUACAGAGCUGUAACUCAUCCCUGCUGCUGAACAGGAAAGGGCCUGCCUUACCCAGAUCCCAUCCUCCGGAAAGGGUUAGUCAGGCAAGUGUGCUGAGAGGCCCCUGGGAACCUCGUCUCGAUUAACCCAUCAGAAAGCAGCCCAUCCUUUGCACCCAGCUCUCAGAUGGAAAAGUGAAGCCCAGAAGGAAGGGACCUGACACGGAGGCUUCCUUGGUAGCAUUUCAGUCUCAAGGGAAGAACUGUGGGCCUCCCCUGGAGCACUGGUGAAGUAAGGGGUUGGUUUGGAUAUUGUCUCCUGACUGGGAUAUGGGCAGGACUGACAGGGAGCUGGAGUCCUAACGAAGCCUGGGCUAGGUGCAGGAAGAACCAACCCAGUGGUCUCCUGACAUCUCCCACGCCCCCACCGCAGCUGGGUCACCUCCAGAAUACGGAGGAGAGAGCUGGAGGUGGAGGAACUAAGGACCUUCUUUGCCAGGUGGGGACUUAAAGCAUACAGUGAAGUUGUUCUCUGAAGUUCCUCAUCUGCCUUAAGUCUGGACCCACCAAAGAAGAAAACAAUGACCACUGGUCCCUUCCCGGAGUUUUCUCUGACUGAACUGCUGUCACAGGAAGAAAGACUGAAGCCUGCUCACAUACCUGGACAGAUUUUGCAAACCGUUGUCUGCUCUGUGAGCCCAACAGACUUUGUCCCAGGCCACUGUAUGUUCUUCAAGCCCACUGAAUUCCCCUGAAAAUCAUUUACUAGCCCCCUGAAAUUACCCACACUUCCCCAUUGCUCAUCUGUACCCCAUUUCGUGGUGGGGCAGUCACUCUGAUUUCCCCUUGCAUGCUAAUGAAUGUGUAUUCCAUUUCUAUUCUGCUUUCAUGAGCUGACUUUUCAGUGAACCUUCAGAGGGUAAAGGGGAAGUUUUCCCUUGGCCCCUGCACCGCAAUUGGUAAGGUCCAAAAUGUUAAAUGGAAAAUUCCAGAAAUAGCUGGUCGUGAUGGCUCCUGCCUGUAAUCCCAGCACUUUGGGAGGCCGAGGUAGGUGGAUAGCUUGAAGUCAGGAGUUCGAGACCAGCCUGGCCAACAUGGUGAAACCCUGUCUGUACUAAAAGUACCAAAAUUAGCUGGGCGUGGUGGCGCACGCCUGUAGUCCCUGCUACUUGGGAGGCUGAGGCAGGAGAAUCACUUGAACCUGGGAGGCAGAGGUUGCAGUGAGCAGAGAUCGCACCACCACUCCAGCCUGGAUGACAGAGUAAGACUCCGUCUCAAAAAAAAAAAAAAAAGAAAAUUCUAGAAAUAAACAAUUCAUGUUUUAAAUAAC
rnacentral:lncRNA from 1 species